GCUAACGAACGAAGCGGGCUGGCAUCGUUAAUAUAAUCCCACAGUUGGCAGGAAAAACGCAAGGAAUAAUCCAAACGGCACACUGCACACACAGACACUGCAAACAAAACAGUGAAAAAUUGUUAAUAAUAGUGUGACAAAUCGUCAAAUGACAUAUGACAAAAGCUGCGAGAUUAUUUCGUGGUUAUUCAACUCACAGUAGCCAAGAACAGGUAGAAUUCACUUUGCCGACCCAGAAAAUUCUCCCCGCGGAAGCUUUUUGUUUGUCUUCUAAAUGAAGCGCAACCGAGCCCUAAUAACUCUUCAUCAGCAAUCACCGGCAGCGUGGGAUUCGCGCAAAAACAGGACAGGGCAGUGAGGUUAAGCAGGAUGCUUAGCAGAGAGAAGAAGAAAAAUGAAUUACGAGCGACACUCGACUCGGAUCGGCGCAUUAAUUUCGGACCGGCUGGCCGACCGUCCGUCGACGGCGAGUUUUUAUCUUAAACUCGACGUAAUUGCGGAAUAAAUCAAACAUUUUUAUUUACAUCAUA